UACGAAGGGGGCUAGCGUUGCUCGGAUUUACUGGGCGUAAAGGGCUCGUAGGCGGCCAACUAAGUCAGACGUGAAAUCCCUCGGCUUAACCGGGGAACUGCGUCUGAUACUGGAUGGCUUGAGUUUGGGAGAGGGAUGCGGAAUUCCAGGUGUAGCGGUGAAAUGCGUAGAUAUCUGGAGGAACACCGGUGGCGAAGGCGGCAUCCUGGACCAACACUGACGCUGAGUGAGCGAAAGCCAGGGGAGCAAACGGG
rnacentral:rRNA from 1 species